UUCUAUGACAAAUCCCUCCCCCUUCCCCCCCCCAUCACCCUCGGUCUCGCGACAGCUGCUUAACAUAAAAUGGCUACAAUGUAACAUCUUUGCCUUUUGAUGUCUCUCGCUGCUGCUGCGGGAGAAUUGGGGAUAUAAAGCCGGAACAAAAGCCCCUCCCCUGCGGGACCUGCCAGAGAAAUGCAUCACCAGGAGAAGAGCUCCUCGCCAGUGCCCGGCAUUGCCCGCUCCGCCACGGCACUCGCUUACCACGAGCACUACCCCUCGCCCGGCCCCGUCAAGAGCAAAGCCCUGAAGACUGAGAAAGACGCGGCAUUGCCCUCCUUCCCCUUGGGCGCAGGCUACAAUGACCUCGCUGUGUCGGGCAACCAGACGCACCCAACAGGAAGUGGAGGCAGCGGGGCGCAAGCUCAGGACCUGCGACUCUCGAAGCGCAGACCCCUCCCAGGGAAGCACUACCAGUGCUCCAGCUAUGGCUGCAAGCUGGCCUUCCACAGCAUGCAGGAGCUAAUGGAUCACAUGAGAGUCCACUACAGACCCACUCAGUCCCUGGAGGGUAAAAUAUUCCACUGCCCCACCCAGGGCUGCACGGAAACUUUCCCCAGCAUGCAGGACCUGGUGGCUCACAUGAAGGUGCACUACAAGCCAAACCGCUACUUCAAGUGCGAGAACUGCCUGCUGCGCUUCCGGACCCACCGCUCCCUCUUCAAGCACCUGCACGUCUGCUCCGACAGCACCAGCAGCCCAGCUCCAGUGCAGAAAGCCGAGAGGCCCCCCCCACCUGCUACCUCCAGACUGGAGAAGGACCCCCCGGCCAAGCCGCUGGAGGGGCUGCCCAAACUCCAGAGCGUCAUCCGGCACAUGGAGAAAGAAGCCAUCCUCCCCAGAAUGGACGCUGUCUCCUCCGCCGUGCCAGCCUCACUCCCCACUAGUCUCCCUGGUCUCCACGGCUCCCUGGAGUCCAUGCCCCUGGUCUCUCCAGCCUCCCACCCAUUCCCUCUGCUGGAGCCCUCUCCCUUCGGGCCGUCGUCCUUGACCCGGUUCUCGGGCCAGCCUCACUCCUCGGUGCCGGGGCCUUUCCUGUCCUACAUGCACCCCUCUCCUUACAGCUUACCUCAGGCUUCGGUUCAGCAUCGCCUCAGGCCGUAUCUGCCCAGCCAAGGCCUCCCCGUCUCCAACGCUGUGUGGAAGAAAAGUCAAGGUGAGAACACAGGGCCAGCAGGUAAAUCUGUCGUCUUCAGCUGGGAAUCCCCCAGGCUACAGCAAACCUCCUUCCAGGCUCGCCCCAGGCCGCUGCUGCGAGAACCCACAGGCGGGCGGGGAGGCACUUCCGGCCGAGGACGCUACCCACCAGCUGCCCUGUCCUCCCUUUGCCACCCUGAGAACCAGACAGAUCCCACUUGCUCAAGCUCCCAGAUUCCCUCUGUCCCGGGCUCCGUAGAGUGGGUUCCAGUGGCCAUUUCUCCACCCCUCAUCCCAACAUCUCGCGCCCAACAGACAAGCUGCUCCAUGGGGAAACUUGAGAACAAGAUCCACGUCUAUCCUGGAGGGCUCCCCAGAUGUGGGGCAUGAGGCAUGAUCCCAUUUAUCCUACUCUGUUUGCCAAGGCCUGGGGGUGUAUUGGGCUGAAUCCUCCGCUGGCUCCACCAACCUCCACGGAGAUACCGUGCCAGUGGAGAAUUCGCCUCUCGUUCUGUAACCGAGGCCGUGACACCUCCCUGGCCUGUUCCUCCCUCGCUCCCUCCCGCCAGCCUGUGGCCGCUGUGCUGAGCUGGUGAGCCCCGCUCCCUUUCCCGUGUUGGCCGUCGUCGGCCUGUGCUGGGGACCCCUUUGGCGCAGGAUCCGGCGGGAAGAGGCGCCCUGGCGACAGGCUAUUGCAACUGCUGCCCAGCUAACACCCUGACAAACCUGCGGAUGGUGUAGCACCAGGACAUGUUCCUGGCUCUCAUUUGCUCCAGUGUGAGAGUCCCUCCCUGUGCUAAAAAAAAAAAUCCCCCUUCAGCUCCCCCACAGCCCCCAAUCUCUGUCCUGCUUCCACCCCCUGGAACUGUCCGUCGAGUCCUGCGGGCACAGCGCCUGGAGUGAUGCCCCCUUGUCCUGUCAGCCUUGUUCUGAAAAGCCAGUGGCAGCUACAGCUGGCAUCCGAGCCAGGGCCUCUUGGUCGCUUCCCUUCCCCCCAGCCAAGGGAGGGGAAGGCCUAAUGCUUGUCUCGCCCCUCGAUUCCCUUCGCAGGUGUGUGCGUCGGCCCACGCCUCCCAUGCUUUGGCUCAGGUGUGACUUCAGGCCACUCCUCCAACAGCCGCAUCGUGUGGGAGCACACGCGAGGGCGCU